rnacentral:rRNA from 1 species
AUUGAACGCUGGCGGCAGGCUUAACACAUGCAAGUCGAGCGGAGUGAUGGUGCUUGCACUAUCACUUAGCGGCGGACGGGUGAGUAAUGCUUAGGAAUCUGCCUAUUAGUGGGGGACAACAUCUCGAAAGGGAUGCUAAUACCGCAUACGUCCUACGGGAGAAAGCAGGGGAUCACUUGUGACCUUGCGCUAAUAGAUGAGCAUAAGUCGGAUUAGCUAGUUGGUGGGGUAAAGGCCUACCAAGGCGACGAUCUGUAGCGGGUCGGGGAGGAUGAUCCGCCACACUGGGACUGAGACACGGCCCAGACUCCUACGGGAGGCAGCAGUGGGGAAUAUUGGACAAUGGGGGGAACCCUGAUCCAGCCAUGCCGCGUGUGUGAAGAAGGCCUUAUGGUUGUAAAGCACUUUAAGCGAGGAGGAGGCUCUUUUGGUUAAUACCCAAGAUGAGUGGACGUUACUCGCAGAAUAAGCACCGGCUAACUCUGUGCCAGCCGCCGCGGUAA